UAGGUAGUUUCAAGUUGUUGGGCUGGACGUUUAAUUUCACAGGAACCUGAAACUGCCUGAA
rnacentral:pre_miRNA from 1 species